UGGGGGUUAGCUCAGUCCGGCCAGAGCUGCAGUUUUACACGCUGCGCAAGCAUCGGUUCGAAUCCGAUACCCCCGACCA
rnacentral:tRNA from 1 species